rnacentral:lncRNA from 1 species
UCCAUAAUCAUCAGUCACCAUCACUAACCACCUUUGCCACCACCACCAUUGCCAACCACCACCUAGCCACCAACUACCAGUAUCACCAACCACCUCUACCAUCACAACCACCAUUCACAGUCAUAAUUGCUACUAACCACUAUUUUCAGUAGCUAUCGUGUCUACCACUUCCAUUAUUUUAAUUAUAUCCACCGUUAUAACCACCACCAAUGCCAACACUGACGCCAACACUUCCAACACCAAUACCAUCAUCAAUCAUUAUCGGCCAAUCACAACUACUAACCAACUCAUCUGUCAUAACUAGCGCCACCGCUACCUACCACUAACACAUUAUCAACAUCUAUACAUUCUUCGGCCACCACCACUGCCAUUGUCACCGGUGCCGCCACCUCUCCACCGCUUCAACCACCGUCAUCGCUACAGUAUAUCUCUAUUAAUAAUCAUCUCCACCAUCACAACUAACAUCUCCAACUGCCACCAACAUAUCGUCAACCAUCAUGCAUUCAUUUGUUAAGCUAUCACAAUCAACACCUCCAACUACCAACAUCAACCAACUUCACAUCACUACCUCCACCACUACCAAUUGCCACCAUCAUAAUAGUCACUACAAUACCAAAAAUCUCUAACAUCACAACUAUCACUACCAAUAUUACUAAUCACUAACAUCAAUCAUUACCACCACAACUACC